GACGAACGCUGGCGGCGUGCCUAAUACACGCAAGUCGAGCGAAUCAAUAGGAGCUUGCUCCUGUUGGUUAGCGGCGGACGGGUGAGUAACACGUGGGCAACCUGCCUGUAAGACUGGGAUAACACCGGGAAACCGGUGCUAAUACCGGAUAAUCCUUUUCCUCUCAUGAGGAAAAGCUGAAAGACGGUUUCGGCUGUCACUUCCAGCUGGGCCCGCGGCGCAUUAGCUAGUUGGUGAGGUAACGGAUCACCAAGGCGACGAUGCGUAGCCGACCUGAGAGGGUGAUCGGCCACACUGGGACUGAGACACGGCCCAGACUCCUACGGGAGGCAGCAGUAGGGAAUCUUCCACAAUGGACGAAAGUCUGAUGGAGCAACGCCGCGUGAGCGAUGAAGGCCUUCGGGUCGUAAAGCUCUGUUGUUAGGGAAGAACAAGUACCGGAGUAACUGCCGGUACCUUGACGGUACCUAACCAGAAAGCCACGGCUAACUACGUGCCAGCAGCCGCCGUAAGAC
rnacentral:rRNA from 1 species